rnacentral:rRNA from 1 species
AAUAUUGGACAAUGGGGGCAACCCUGAUCCAGCCAUGCCGCGUGUGUGAAGAAGGUCUUCGGAUUGUAAAGCACUUUAAGUUGUGAGGAAGGGCUUUAGGUUAAUACCCUGACGUGUUGACGUUAUCAACAGAAUAAGCCCCGGCUAACUCUGUGCCAGCAGCCGCGGUAAUACAGAGGGUGCAAUCGUUAAUCGGAAUUACUGGGCGAAAAGGGCGCGUAGGUGGUUCAGUAAUAUGGGUGUGAAAUCCCCGGGCUGAACCUGGGAACUGCUUUCAUAACUGCUGAGCUAGAGUACGGUAGAGGGGAGUGGAAUUUCCUGUGUAGCGGUGAAAUGCGUAGAUAUAGGAAGGAACACCAGUGGCGAAGGCGACUACCUGGACUGAUACUGACACUGAGGUGCGAAAGCGUGGGGAGCAAAC